UGGGGAAUAUUGGGCAAUGGAGGAAACUCUGACCCAGCGACGCCGCGUGAGGGAUGAAGGCCUUCGGGUUGUAAACCUCUUUCAGUAGGGAAGAAGCGAAAGUGACGGUACCUACAGAAGAAGCACCGGCUAACUAUGUGCCAGCAGCCGCGGUAAUACAUAGGGUGCAAGCGUUGUCCGGAAUUAUUGGGCGUAAAGAGCUCGUAGGUGGUUCGAUACGUCGGAUGUGAAAAUCAGGGGCUCAACCCCUGACCUGCAUUCGAUACGGUCGAGCUAGAGUUUGGUAGGGGAGACUGGAAUUCCUGGUGUAGCGGUGGAAUGCGCAGAUAUCAGGAGGAACACCGAUGGCGAAGGCAGGUCUCUGGGCCAAUACUGACACUGAGGAGCGAAAGCGUGGGGA
rnacentral:rRNA from 1 species